rnacentral:rRNA from 1 species
GACGAACGCUUUCUUCGUGCUUAACACAUGCAAGUCGAACGGAAAGGCCCCUUUGGGGGUACUCGAGUGGCGAACGGGUGAGUAACACGUGAGUAACCUGCCCUUGACUUCGGGAUAACUUCAGGAAACUGGGGCUAAUACCGGAUAGGAAUCCUUGCUGCAUGGUGGGGGUUGGAAAGCUUCGGCGGUUUUGGAUGGACUCGCGGCUUAUCAGCUUGUUGGUGGGGUAGUGGCUUACCAAGGCUUUGACGGUUAGCCGGCCUGAGAGGGCGACCGGUCACAUUGGGACUGAGAUACGGCCCAGACUCCUACGGGAGGCAGCAGUGGGGAAUAUUGCACAAUGGGCGGAAGCCUGAUGCAGCAACGCCGCGUGCGGGAUGACGGCCUUCGGGUUGUAAACCGCUUUCAGCAGGGGCGAAGCUUGUGGUGACGGUACCUGCAGAAGAAGCACCGGCUAACUACGUG